UACGGGGGGGGGCAAGCGUUGUUCGGAAUUACUGGGCGUAAAGGGCUCGUAGGCGGCCAACUAAGUCAGACGUGAAAUCCCUCGGCUUAACCGGGGAACUGCAUCUGAUACUGGAUGGCUUGAGUUCGGGAGAGGGAUGCGGAAUUCCAGGUGUAGCGGUGAAAUGCGUAGAUAUCUGGAGGAACACCGGUGGCGAAGGCGGCACCCUGGACCGGUAUUGACGCUGAGGCGCGAAAGCCAGGGGAGCAAACGGG
rnacentral:rRNA from 1 species